rnacentral:rRNA from 1 species
UAGGGAAUCUUCGGCAAUGGACGAAAGUCUGACCGAGCAACGCCGCGUGAGUGAAGAAGGUUUUCGGAUCGUAAAACUCUGUUGUUAGAGAAGAACAAGGACGUUAGUAACUGAACGUCCCCUGACGGUAUCUAACCAGAAAGCCACGGCUAACUACGUGCCAGCAGCCGCGGUAAUACGUAGGUGGCAAGCGUUGUCCGGAUUUAUUGGGCGUAAAGCGAGCGCAGGCGGUUUCUUAAGUCUGGUGUGAAAGCCCCCGGCUCAACCGGGGAGGGUCAUUAGAAACUGGGAGACUGGAGUGCAGAAGAGGAGAGUGGAAUUCCAUGAGUGGCGGUGAAAUGCGUAGAUAUAUGGAGGAACACCAGUGGCGAAGGCGGCUCUCUGGUCUGUAACUGACGCUGAGGCUCGAAAGCGUGGGGAGCAAACAGG